CCUACGGGGGGCAGCAGUCGAGAAUCAUUCACAAUGGGGGAAACCCUGAUGGUGCGACGCCGCGUGGGGGAAUGAAGGUCUUCGGAUUGUAAACCCCUGUCAUGUGGGAGCAAAUUAAAAAGAUAGUACCACAAGAGGAAGAGACGGCUAACUCUGUGCCAGCAGCCGCGGUAAUACAGAGGUCUCAAGCGGUGUUCGGAAUCAAUGGGCGUAAAGGGUGCGUUGGCUGGUUCGUAAGGCGUGUGUGAAAGGCGCGGGCUCAACCCGCGGACGGCACAUGAUACUGCGAGACUAGAGUAAUGGAGGGGGAACCGGAAUUCUCGGUGUAGCAGUGAAAUGCGUAGAUAUCGAGAGGAACACUCGUGGCGAAGGCGGGUUCCUGGACAUUAACUGACGCUGAGGCACGAAGGCCAGGGGAGCGAAAGGGAUUAGAUACCCUUGUAGUC
rnacentral:rRNA from 1 species